AAAUACCCGCUCUUUCUUCUCGCGCUAAGCUAAAAUCAUUGUUUCCUCAAUUUCGGAUACCUAGAAGUUUUAAUAGAUGGGUUACGCGUGAGGGACCCGACAACUUUGGCGUCAAUAACCAUAUCCUUCGCCUCUUCUCUCCAUCUCCUGUGUUUUUGUUUCAGAAAUUCAAUUCAAAUUCUAUAUUAUUUCACACUUUUUCUUUUUCUUUUUCUUUUUCUCUUUGUACUCUCGCUCUUUUCAUCUGCAACAACUGUAAUUACCAGAUGCUUUGCGUCAUAUCCAAAUAUAAUACAGGUCCCCCGUCCCCCAUAUACAUUCAUGGUUUUGUGGUCCAAUCAUUCUUUGUAAUCUACUGAUAUAACUCUUUACUUUUUAUGUCUGUUUCCACCAAUAAUCCACCCAGAACUAGUGGUGGCAUUGGACUAAGCCGUAGCGAUGAUGACGAUAACGACGUCGGUGCUAGUGGUAGGUGUGAUGAGAUGGAUGAUUCAGCGCUUGGUGCUGCUUGGUAAUUCUUCAUUUAUCCCGUUUAUGGCUCUCGUUAGAGUCAGAAUUGCGGCCUUCUCGACGAGACUACUUCUUGGACAAAGUCAACGGAGUUUGGGACUGAGCAACUUGAAGAUUUUAUUACUUUUUUUAAGUGUAUUUCAAUGUAUCUCGUUGUAUUUCAUGUAUUUCAUUGUAUUCACUGUCUCGCUAUAUUCCAUAAAUAUAUUCAUAUGUAUUCUUUAAUUAAUAUAAUUUAUGUAUUCAGAUGUAUAUAUAUAUAUUCAAAUGUAUCUACAAUAUGUAUUCA
rnacentral:lncRNA from 1 species